CCUACGGGAGGCAGCAGUGAGGAAUAUUGGUCAAUGGACGAGAGUCUGAACCAGCCAAGUAGCGUGAAGGAUGACUGCCCUAUGGGUUGUAAACUUCUUUUAUAUGGGAAUAAAAUGUUCCACGUGUGGGAUUUUGUAUGUACCAUAUGAAUAAGGAUCGGCUAACUCCGUGCCAGCAGCCGCGGUAAUACGGAGGAUCCGAGCGUUAUCCGGAUUUAUUGGGUUUAAAGGGAGCGUAGGUGGAUUGUUAAGUCAGUUGUGAAAGUUUGCGGCUCAACCGUAAAAUUGCAGUUGAAACGGGCAGUCUUGAGUACAGUAGAGGUGGGCGGAAUUCGUGGUGUAGCGGUGAAAUGCUUAGAUAUCACGAAGAACUCCGAUUGCGAAGGCAGUUCACUGGACUGCAACUGACACUGAGGCUCGAAAGUGUGGGUAUCAAACAGGAUUAGAUACCCCAGUAGUC
rnacentral:rRNA from 1 species